GGAAUCUUCCACAAUGGACGCAAGUCUGAUGGAGCAACGCCGCGUGAGCGAAGAAGAUCUUCGGAUCGUAAAACUCUGUUGUUAGAGAAGAACACGAGUGAGAGUAACUGUUCAUUCGAUGACGGUAUCUAACCAGCAAGUCACGGCUAACUACGUGCCAG
rnacentral:rRNA from 1 species